UCUCUUUGUUUCUCCGCUGCCUCGUGGUAAGGAACUCCUGGUGGAAGAGUCAUGCCCAGUACUUGCGGCACCUGAAAACUUCCUUAAGCAGCUGUUGUUGUGCUGGCCUCCUAGGAUAUUCAGCAGCUGGUCCUGUCACCUUCCAGGUCAGAGGAGCGCUGGGCUGGGAAAUGGGCAGGAGCAAGGCCAGCAUGUGGAACAGUGGUGCAUUUUCUGCCGCCACUCUUACAAUUUUGUUGUGGAUAUCUUACCAUUGUCAGGAAGUUUGAGACCCUGUGAAUUGGGUUCAAGGUCAUGUUUUAAUAAAUUUUAUGAUUGCCAGAAUAUUUUUUUUAAUAACCCCGUUAGAUCUGUGGCCGUCUCCAUAGUUUUAAAUAGGGAUGUAAAUGUAUAUAGGGAAAUGUAAAUGAGGAAAAUACCUAAUAAAAAUAUUUUUAAAAAAAGAAA
rnacentral:lncRNA from 1 species